CAACGCCGCGUGGAGGAUGAAGACCUUCGGUCGUAAACUCCUUUCGAUCGAGACGAAUGGCUCCGGGUGAACAGUCCGGGAGAAUGACGGUACCGAGAGAAGAAGCCCCGGCUAACUCCGUGCCAGCAGCCGCGGUAAUACGGGGGGGCAAGCGUUGUUCGGAAUUACUGGGCGUAAAGGGCUCGUAGGCGGCCAACUAAGUCAGACGUGAAAUCCCUCGGCUUAACCGGGGAACUGCAUCUGAUACUGGAUGGCUUGAGAUUGGGAGAGGGAUGCGGAAUUCCAGGUGUAGCGGUGAAAUGCGUAGAUAUCUGGAGGAACACCGGUGGCGAAGGCGGCAUCCUGGACCAACACUGACGCUGAGGAGCGAAAGCCAGGGGAGCAAACGGGAUUAGAUACCCCGGUAGUCCUGGCCCUAAACGAUGAAUGCUUGGUGUGGCGGGUAUCGAUCCCUGCCAUGCCGAAGCUAACGCAUUAAGCAUUCCGCCUGGGGAGUACGGUCGCAAGGCUG
rnacentral:rRNA from 1 species